rnacentral:misc_RNA from 1 species
ACGCUCACCAGCGCGAUGCCCAUCAGGAUCACCCAGGUAAGGUGGGUUUCCACCCGGUUCAUGGUAAAUAGCGGCUUGCGUGGUACAUCCACAACGCGUUUGCGUAAACGCGUUUUAUAGGUCACGUAAUACACGCCGUAGAAACAGGCGGCGGAUAAUAGAGCCUGCAAUAAGAUUUCCGGCGGCGCGACGCCAACGUCGAAACGAAAUACCAGCACGCUGGUUAGCGGAAAACCAAAAAAGAAGGUCAACAAAAACAGCAACGAAAAGAAAACGUUGAAGUUAAAACGCACGCGGCGGAAUUCAAACCAGGUCAGCGUGGCGAUAAACAGCGUAGAGAGCAGCCAGACCACCAGCAGCCCGCUGAAU